rnacentral:rRNA from 1 species
GACGAACGCUGGCGGCGUGCUUAACACAUGCAAGUCGAACGGAAAGGCCUGCUUUCCCUUGUGGAUUGCGGGUACUCGAGUGGCGAACGGGUGAGUAACACGUGAGUGAUCUGCCCCCAACUUGGGUAUAAGCCUGGGAAACUGGGUCUAAUUCCCGAUAGGACUGCAGGGUGGUGCCUGUGGUGGAAAACGAUUUUCUAGUGGUUGGGGAUGAGCUCGCGGCCUAUCAGCUUGUUGGUGGGGUAAUGGCCUACCAAGGCGGCGACGGGUAGCCGGCCUGGGAGGGUGGACGGCCACAUUGGGACUGAGAUACGGCCCAGACGCCUACGGGAGGCAGCAGUGGGGAAUAUUGCACAAUGAGCGGAAGCCUGAUGCAGCGACGCCGCGUGGGGGAUGACGGCCUUCGGGUUGUAAACUCCUUUCGACCGCGAGGAAGCCACCUGGUUGGAAGGGUGGUGACGGUAGUGGUAGAAGAAGCACCGGCUAACUACGUG